rnacentral:rRNA from 1 species
GAUGAACGCUGGCGGCGUGCCUAACACAUGCAAGUCGAACGAAGCACUUUGAUUUCUUUGGAAUGAAGAGUGACUGAGUGGCGGACGGGUGAGUAACGCGUGGGUAACCUGCCUCAUAUAGGGGGAUAACAGUUAGAAGUGACUGCUAAUACCGCAUAAGCGCACAGUACCGCAUGGUACCGUGUGAAAAACUCCGGUGGUAUGAGAUGGGCCCGCGUCUGAUUAGCUAGUUGGUGGGGUAACGGCCCACCAAGGCGACGAUCAGUAGCCGACCUGAGGGGGUGACCGGCCACAUUGGGACUGAGACACGGCCCAA